ANNUCAACCUGCCCUAGAGACACGAAUAACCCCGGGAAACUGGGAUUAAUGCGUGAUAGGUCAUCUCAUCUGGAAGGAGAGAUGGCUUAAAGGGGUGCGAGAGCUUCUUUCUCGUAUCCGCUUUAGGGUGGGACUGCGGCCGAUCAGGCUGUUGGUGGGGUAAUGGCCCACCAAACCUGUAACCGGUACGGGCCUUGAGAGAGGGGGCCCGGAGAUGGACACUGAGAGAAGGGUCCAGGUCCUACGGGGCGCAGCAGGCGCGAAACCUUCGCAAUGCGCGAAAGCGUGACGAGGUUAAUCCGAGUGGUCCCCGCUGAGGGGAUCUUUUGUUGGCUCUAAAACGGCCAGUGAAUAAGGGGAGGGCAAGUCUGGUGUCAGCCGCCGCGGUAAUACCAGCUCCUCGAGUGGUCGGGGCGAUUAUUGGGCCUAAAGCAUCCGUAGCCUGUUCUGUAGGUCCGCUGUUAAAUCCAACGGCUUAACCGUUGGCCCGCAGCGGAUACCGCAGGACUAGGAGGCGGGAGAGGUGGACGGUACUCUACGUGUAGGGGUAAAAUCCUUUGAUCCGUAGAAGACCACCAGUGGCGAAGGCGGUCCACCAGAACGCGCUCGACGGUGAGGGAUGAAAGCUGGGGGAGCGAACCGGAUUAGAUACCCGGGUAGUCCCAGCUGUAAACGAUGCAAGCUAGAUGAUCCGGUCGCAAAUCGCGAUCGGAGUGUCGCAGGGAAGCCGUUAAGCUUGCCGCCUGGGGAGUACGGUCGCAAGACUGAAACU
rnacentral:rRNA from 1 species